rnacentral:rRNA from 1 species
GAUGAACGCUAGCGGCAGGCUUAAUACAUGCAAGUCGUGGGGCAGCGCAGUGUAGCAAUACAUGGGCGGCGACCGGCAAACGGGUGCGGAACACGUACGCAACCUACCCAAAACUGGGGAAUAGCCCGGGGAAACCCGGAUUAAUACCUCGUAACAUAAUUGAGUGGCAUCACUUAGUUAUUAUAGCUCCGGCGGUUUUGGAUGGGCGUGCGCCUGAUUAGGUAGUUGGCGGGGUAACGGCCCACCAAGCCUGCGAUCAGUAACUGGUGUGAGAGCACGACCAGUCACACGGGCACUGAGACACGGGCCCGACUCCUACGGGAGGCAGCAGUAAGGAAUAUUGGUCAAUGGACGCAAGUCUGAACCAGCCAUGCCGCGUGAAGGAUGAAGGUCCUCUGGAUUGUAAACUUC